rnacentral:lncRNA from 1 species
AACUGAUAUAGAAAUAAUCAAAAUAUGGUUUCGUAAUAUGGUACGACAAAUAAAAAAUUGCCAUAUUAAUGAUUUAUUAUUUAUUUCUGCAUUAAAAUAUUAUAAUUAUGAUAUGUUAGAAGAGCGUAUGAAAUAUUAUAUUGAUUUAGAUAAUGGAACUGAUAUAUAUAUUGUAGGGUGUGUAAAUGUAGGAAAAUCAUCUUUUAUAAAUUCUUUUUUACGUUUUAUUAAUUAUAGACAUAUUGGAGAUAUAUAUAAUAAAAGAAAAAAAGGAGGUGUUACUACUUCUAAUUUACCUUAUACAACAUUAAAUUAUAACGUUUUUAAAUUAAAAAAAAAUAUAAAUUUAAUUGAUACUAUUGGUAUACCAACCAAAUAUCAAUAUUCAUCUAUUUUGUAUAAAAAUAUAGAUCUUAACAGUAUAUGUAUAAAUAAAAAAAUACAACCAUUUACAUAUAAAUUAAAAACGGAUUCUUCUAUAUUACUAGGAAGCUUAUGUUAUAUUAACUUUAUUUAUGGAAAUUUUGCUUUUUUAACUUUUUAUAUAUCCAAUAAAGUUACUAUUCAUUUAUGUAAAAGUGAAAAAGUCGAAUCUCUAUUACAAAAAAAAAAAUGCUCUUUUUUAUACCCACCUCAUACAAACAAAGAUUUUGAUUUACUAAUGCCUUUUGUCAAACAUACAGUUCAAGUUUAUGGUAAAGAUUUUGAAAGUGUUGAUGACAUUGUUAUAGCUGACUUAGGUUGGUUUUCUGUAACAGGCAGCGGAAUAAAAAUAUUUGAAAUAUAUGCACCCAAAAAUAUCAAAAUUUAUAGAAGACCUUCUAUGAUUAAUGAUUCCAUAAAACACACUCAUGUAGAUGUUUUUAAAUAUAAAUCUUAUCGUGGUAGAACAAAUAAAAUUUUAAAAAAAAAAAAAAAACUAAUUGAACAAUUAGAUAGAUUAAAUCCACAAAAGCGAGAAGAAAUAAAACUUUUAACUAUUCAAAAUGAACGUGUACAAAUUGAAAAGUUGUCAAAUUUUAAUGACGUGGGAGAUGUAUCAUGUGCUUCCACCCAGUCUGGUAGUAUGUCUAUCCUUUCGAAUAGAGCGGACUUAGAAAACAUUAUACACUCUUUGUGAGUUUCGAACGUAAUCAUUCAAAAGUGGUACACAAAAAAAAAAAAAA